rnacentral:rRNA from 1 species
AACGAACGCUGGCGGCAUGCCUAACACAUGCAAGUCGAACGAGAUCUUCGGGUCUAGUGGCGCACGGGUGCGUAACGCGUGGGAAUCUGCCCUUUGGUUCGGAAUAACAGGUGGAAACGACUGCUAAUACCGGAUGAUGACGAAAGUCCAAAGAUUUAUCGCCAGAGGAUGAGCCCGCGGAGGAUUAGCUAGUAGGUGUGGUAAAGGCGCACCAAGGCGACGAUCCUUAGCUGGUCUGAGAGGAUGAUCAGCCACACUGGGACUGAGACACGGCCCAGACUCCUACGGGAGGCAGCAGUGGGGAAUAUUGGACGAUGGGCGAAAGCCUGAUCCAGCAAUGCCGCGUGAGUGAUGAAGGCCUUAGGGUUGUAAAGCUCUUUUACCCGGGAUGAUAAUGACAGUACCGGGAGAAUAAGCUCCGGCUAACUCCGUGCCAGCAGCCGCCGUAAGAC